rnacentral:lncRNA from 1 species
UCUAUGGGGUGACUCCCAUCGGCACACAUGCACGCUGUCAUUUCUCCCAUCUUUAGAAACACCUCUCGUCUCCAUGCACUUCCCUAAUGACCACCAUAUUUCUCAGGCCCCUUUACAGAAAACCUGUUUGAAGAGGCAUCAAAACUGUUCAUCUUGGCCGGAAGCGGUGGCUCAUGCCUGUAAUCCCAGCACUUCGGGAGGCUGAGAAUCUAAAUCCCAUGAAGACAGGGACACUGCUUUGCUGCCUGCUAUGUCUCCAGCACUUAGAACAGUGCCUGGCACAUCACAGAGCCUCAAUAAUAUUUGCUGAAUGAAUGAGCAGCACCCCGCCCUUUAACAGUGGAGAGAAACCAUCAUCGACGAAGGAUCUAUACCAGAGCUGCAACUGCCACCAGCGACCCAAGACAGAGAAAUGCCACCUUGCGUUACUAAAGGGCUCAUGACACCAUAUACAACAGCUGAAUCCCCAAGAGGAGUGUGGCUGAGGAGUGAGACGAAGGUCUCUGGGACACUUUCAGAAGGAUGAGACUUUGUCCAGCCAGUCCUCAUUAUGCCAGGCAAAGGAACUGCCUGUACUCAUAACUGUGGAAGGGGAACCACAUACCAUGGGCAGGUGGUCCAUGGGGGCAGUGAUUAAGAGCAAGUCCUAGAACUCACACUGCCUUUUGGGAGUUAAACUGAAACGAACUCACAACCCCCAGAUCCCAGACAUGCAUCACCCUUGAGAGGCCCCUACUCCCUGCACCUCUCCUUCCCAGUGCUUAGCACAAGUGUAAUUAUGAUGUGGAUAAUCAUUUGUCUAAUUUAAUGUCUGUCCCCAAAGGGCCUUUGUCUGUCCUGUUGUAUCACUCUACCCCUAGGACCUAACAUGGUGCUUGGCUUAUAGUAGGUGCUUUGGGUUCAAUGAAUUAAAAAUAAAUGUUUUUAAAAGAAAGACUGAAUGGGUCUCUACACUAUAAAACUUGACAGCGACCCCAACAUCUCCCCCAAAAUAACAUCAAAUAAAAAGCACGUGGCUAACUGAUAGAAGUACAGAAAGAUGAGGACCACAGGGGCAGACAUGCAGGGCACAGCCUGGCACUGUCCACAGGCCAGGAGCCCAGCAGGCCCACAUGAGCUGGCAGGCUAUUCAGUGGCACCUGGUGACUACCUACUGAAUAAGCAGUGAAUGAAUCCACAACUUCCCUGUGAGACAGACACAGGACGGGGGCAGGAUCCGAGAUUCUCACAUCGGAUUCAGCACCAAGC